rnacentral:rRNA from 1 species
AUUGAACGCUGGCGGCAGGCUUAACACAUGCAAGUCGAGCGAGCGGCGGACGGGUGAGCUAUGUCUGUGCAACUGCCUGAUGGAUGGGGAUAACUACUGGAAACUGUAGCUACUACCGCAUACCCUCAGAUGUGCCCAGUUGGGAUUAGCUAGUAGGUGGGGUAAUGGCUCACCUAGGCGACGAUCCCUAGCUGGUCUGAGAGGAUGACCAGCCACACUGGAACUGAGACACGGUCCAGACUCCUACGGGAGGCAGCAGUGGGGAAUAUUGCACAAUGGGCGAAAGCCUGAUGCAGCCAUGCCGCGUGUGUGAAGAAGGCCUUCGGAUUGUAAAGCACGUUCAGCGAGGAGGCGUUACUCGCAGAAGAAGCACCGGCUAACUCCGUGCCAGCAGCCGCGGUAAUAC